rnacentral:rRNA from 1 species
CAGUAGCCGCGGGAAUACGAAGGGGGCUAGCGUUGUUCGGAAUUACUGGGCGUAAAGCGCACGUAGGCGGCUUUGUAAGUUAGAGGUGAAAGCCUGGAGCUCAACUCCAGAAUUGCCUUUAAGACUGCAUCGCUUGAAUCCGGGAGAGGUGAGCGGAAUUCCGAGUGUAGAGGUGAAAUUCGUAGAUAUUCGGAAGAACACCAGUGGCGAAGGCGGCUCACUGGACCGGCAUUGACGCUGAGGUGCGAAAGCGUGGGGAGCAAACAGGAUUAGAUACCCCCGUAGUCCCUGUCUCUUAUAC